UACGGGGGGGGCAAGCGUUUGUUCGGAAUUAUUGGGCGUAAAGGGCGCGUAGGCGGCUUGGCAAGUGGAAGGUGAAAUCCCUCGGCUUAACCGAGGAACUGCCCUCCAAACUGCUUCGCUUGAGACCGGGAGAGGUGAGUGGAAUUCCCAGUGUAGCGGUGAAAUGCGUAGAUAUUGGGAGGAACACCAGUGGCGAAGGCGGCUCACUGGACCGGUACUGACGCUGAUGCGCGAAAGCGUGGGGAGCAAACGGGAUUAAGAAACCCUGAGU
rnacentral:rRNA from 1 species